rnacentral:lncRNA from 1 species
CACUGACUAAAGCAGCAGUGUAGUGCAGCCCUGGUCAGCUGGGCUGAUCCCCAAUCUCAACAGGAAUUUGUGGAUAUUAUCCCCUACUCUCUACUCACAAUUUCCCAUCAAACUCAGAAAACUUUAAAAAAAUAAAUAAAUAAAGGCUAUACAAGCCAAAAAAAAGAAACCUUUAACAAAAGAAAUGUAAAAAGGCCAGUAAAAAAAACAAAAAGGAACCACAGGGGAACCAAAUACUAGAUGUCCCCCUACCACAAGGAUGUGCAAUAAGUAUGACAGAUGAGCCCUGCCACACAGACCAGUACAGUGCUGAACAACUCUUCGCAUGCUUCAAGUCACCUGCUGCCAAUUUAAAAUAGCUUUAAUGAAGAGACAUGUGAGCCCCUCACAACUGUAAGCCUUUCUUUGUUCUAAAGUUAGCAGUAUUUCAAGAAUGAGCUACAUCUGUAUCUGUAUAUCAGAUGAUGGACCAGUGCUGGCUGACCCCCCGCUCUCUGGCUCAGUUUGGUUCCCUCAUGUGCAUCGAGAUAUUUACUAUCAUCCCUUAAAAAAGAAACUGCAAUAAUUUUAGACACAAGACAUUUUACUAGUCUUAGAGGAUACAUAAACACUGACUUAAAAAAUGUUAUCUUUAUCAACAAUGUAAAGCAAGUUUGUACAUCCCUAAUUUAUCCUUAAUAUUAACAUUUAUGGCAAUGAGUGAUGCCCUUAAUCAAACCCUCUCGUCGUAUUAGCAAUAAUAUCCAUAUGUUAAAGAUAUAACCUCUAAAAAUAGAACAGUACAGUGUGGCAACUCCCUGGAGUCCACUGGCUUCACAAGACCAGCAGCUUUCAUGAGUUUCUGCAAGAUCUAAGGGCAUUUCUUUAUAAUAGGGUAGAUGAGUGUAUUUUCAGAGACUGACUGAAUGCAGUUCCUCAGAAACAAAGUGAUUAUUUAAGACUGAGGUUUUGAAAAAAUACAAAUUUUCUUGUGAACUAAUUAUACUGCCAUUUUUUUUUUUGGUCUGUUGACCAAUUAGAGGCUGCAUUUGCAAUCAGCUGACCUGUAGAAGUCCAGUCAGAGGUGAGAACAACCUCAGAGUUUGCUGUUAUGAUUGAAAUACACCAAAUAGAACCGUUCUGAAUGGAUUCAUUCAAAUCUGCUCCUUCUAGUAUCAGUAAAUAUGUCGUAUUCCUUAAAAAUGUGUCUUAUAACCAGGUCAGUACAGUCCACCAGGCAGAUGUUGUAAUGUUGGGCAAAGAAAUCAGGCUGCUGAAAGGAUGAAAUAUGUCUGAACACAAGAGGGUCUGAAAUUCUUUUUAUAGCAAUCCUUUACAACAUUUUCGUUGAGCCAUUUGACAGACUGUCCUAAAAGAACCGAAUUUACCAAAGAGUGAAAUGUAUGUAAGUAAAACUGAUCAAUGGAAGGAGUGAUAUCAUCGCUCUUCCUGCCCAAAUGUCUUUGUUAAUGAGGAAAAGUGACAGUCCUAUCUGAGUCUGUUGCUUCUUUUUUGUCCUCACUUCAUUCUUAAACGGUCAGGGCUGUCAGAGUUAUGAUGCAAUUAAUUUGACUGCGCCACACUCUCGUGAAAAUGCCUGAAAAUAAACAGCUUUCUUUCCUCAGGGAUAUUGAAAAGCAAGACAUCAAAGGAGCGUGACGCACCGAAGGUGAGCGCAAUCCUCGCGUUAAAUAAUACAGCCAUAAAGAUCAAAAUUUAAUGCAUCUCCCACUCAUCACGACUCAUUUGUGAUUUAAAGCACUUCUCCAGGAAUAAAAACAGCAUAAUUUCAGAGCCCAGAUCAUGCCCAGAUUGCCUGAAAGAAGAGAGGGAGUUCGUUUGAACAGUUUUUUGAGGCAGAACAAAGGUAAGAUAUUCUGAGUCUAAUUUAAUGUCUCUUUGAAAUAAAUUAAACUCAUCAAAUAUAUGGGGCUUAUUGAUGCAGAACUUUUUGCCCUCUAAAUCAGCGCUUUUUUGAUCUCACAUAAAGGCGUUAUCUCUCCCAUACUGGCUGUGCUCACUUCUCACAGCCAAUUUAACAAGUAUAUCAAACACAUGAAACUCAUCAUCUCAGCACUUUCAGCCAUGUUAAAGCUGUAAUCCAAUUAGCAGAGUCAUGUUUAUAGAUAAUGGGCACCCACUGGAGACUUCACACCAUGUUAGCCUGCAAACACACACACAACAUGAAAGAAGUGUAAAGAUAAUAUCCAUAAUCUCAGAUGCCCCAUUAGUAUGUCUCCGUAAUUUUAAUAUAGUGUUCUCGACUGAACACUGGGGUAAAGCUCUUUCUGUAGAGGAGUUUAAAAGGCAGUAAGGUUGACAGUAUAUAAUGAGUAUGGUCCUGCUAAGAGGACAACCAACCAACCGGUAAAGGUUGCUGUGCUGGCCAACCAAAUACAGGUGCAUCUCAGAAAAACCAAAAGACCUGAAAAAGUUCAUUUUUCUUUUCAUACAGAAACUAAACUUUUCAGAAAGUUAUGUUCAUGUAUGCUGUCAGUACCCGGUUGCGGCUCCUUUGGCAUUAAUUACUGCAUCAAUGCGAUGUAGCAUGAGGGCGAUCAGUCCGUGUCUCUGCUGGGGUGUUAUUGAAGCCCUGGUUGCUUUGAUAACUCCCUCAGCUCAUUUGCAUUGUUGGCUCUGGUGUCUCUCAUCUUUCUCUUGACAAUACUCCGGAGAUCCUUUUACAGGGUUCAUGUUAGGCCAACUGAACGGCUAAUCAAUCAGUUUCUAAGAGUUAUGGCACUGCGGGCAGGUGCCAAGUCCUGCUACAAAAGGAAAUCUUGACCUCUAUACAGCUUCUUAGCAGAUGGAGGUAUGUGUCCUCUCAAAGCUAGGAUAAACUGAGGUUUUGACACAGUGGUAUCAAUGAGACAUCCAUUUUUUUCAGGGGUGCAACGAUAAAUGGACGUUGUCGACAAAAAUCAAUCAAGUCAACAAUGAAUUCCAUUGUCGACUAUUGUCGGCAGACAUGUUUUUUUCCAGUGGAGUGAGGCAUCUUACUUAAUGAUCUCUGCCUAGAGUCACAUGUGCGCAAUAGCAUCUCUGCCGAGCGUUAGGGUAUUUAAACACGGCGGUGCCAGCGUCCCAUACAGCAGCUACGAGUGGGAGUAUGUGCUUAAAAAUCUCCAAAGUCUGUAAGCACUUUAGUCUAGAAAAGGCAAGGAAAAAAAAACACUGCAAGGUUUGCAAAGCAGACCUUGCGUAUCAUGGCAUCAUGACAGUGAUGCACGAACAUUUGAGGAGAAGGCACGGAGUGUGGAUGAAGGUUAGCCUCACCUUGGUACUGUUUUACUGCUGCUAAUUUGCAUAACCUUGGUUUUCUAGAAAAAAAAAAGUUUGUAAAUGACCACAGACAAGUGCGCACACCAUCUUUGGACCUUGAGUGUGAUGCGAUCGGGAGGGGGAGGCGGUCGCGCUGGGGGCGGCGCGACGCGGCUCGGGCCCGACAGUGCCCCACCGGGGCCCUAGUUAAGUUUAUUAUUUAUUUUAAAUAACAAAUUUGCCUGUCUUGAAAAAAUGGACAGAGGUUUAUUUAUUUAUGGUUUUUUGUCUUUACUGACUGAGCACAGUGCCUGUCAAUUGGUUUUGGAUAGGACUUUUUUAAUUUACUUUUUGUAUGAACCAGCCUAUAAGCAGCAAAGUUAAAUACAAAUGCAUUUGUCAUUCAAGUACCCAUAAUUUUUGUGUUUCUUAUUAUUGCCACUUAAUUAAAGCAACCUCACAUUGAAUUUAAGAAGAAAAUCAUAAUUACCCGAUUAGUCGACUAAUCGUUUCAAUAGUCAGUGAAUAGUCGACCGAUUAAAACAGUUGUUAGUUGCAGCCCUCGUUUUUUUUUAAUCAUCAGUGAUGUUUUUGAGCUUGUCAUUUUCUCAUCUUUGUCAUGAAAAAAGGUCAGUGUUGAAUAUUUGCUGUUGUAAUUUUCAUCAGUGACAUUAACAUUACAAAGAAAAUAAAGUAAGGAAAAUGGUAAACUAAGAAAAAUGGCUGGUAGGUGAUUUCAACAUCCCCUGAACCUCAUUGCUGUGUGACUAACAAAGACAGCAUCAGCACCCCUCAUCCUGUUUGAUCUAUUGGUGAACUAUUUUGUUUGCUGCCUAAAGCUUUGGUCACCACCCCCACCCUCCCUACCAAGGCUUUACACAGAUUUCAGGAAUCACAAAGGUGCCCAUUCUGCUGUUAUUGCUGUUUCCUGGUACCACUUGUGUUUCAUUAUAACUAAACUGGAGGAGGCCAUACAAAAUUUCAUUACCUCAGCAUAAUGACAACAAAGAUUACUCACUCCUCAAACGUCUGUGUGCCAAAGGACGCAAACUGCAGGUACCUUUGGGACAAAGUAAGGGACAGAAGAGGAAUGGAAAUAUGCCAGAGAUGAAAACAAUGAAGCUCUGAGAGCAGCUCAUAUAUCACUGUUAGGUUUAAUAUCAUAAAAGAAUGCGGAGUAAAUUAAAUGUUUUCAGUGCUUUCAAUUUUCUGAUAUUCCUUGACGCAGUUUCAAAUUUUCUCAUCACAAUCCUCUGUGGUUUUGGUAAUGACGUUCAUGAUUUCAAAGGAAACUCUUUCUCUUUUCCCAAAAGAUUGGUACCGAC